CGGGGAGGCGCCCCCGGGCGGCGGAAUCACUCCGUUGGCCAUGGAAGAGCUGGAGGCUUGAGAGUCUCUCAAUCACUAAGGGACCGAGCCCUGGGAGCCCUGGAGGAGACCCCCUCCGCACACAAGCUUCUCCAGCCUUGGGCACCAGAUCCCAGACACCUGGAAGGAACCAGCAACUCCACUUCAAGUCUCUGUACAGCUGAUGUCCCUCAGAGGCCUGGCUUCUGGACUGACAACAUGGAGAUUCAGCCAGACUUAUUACUCCAGCAAGACCACACCUAAGAAGAAGGUUGUCCACAGAUUUGGGCAUCAUUGGCAUACUGAAGGUCUCGUGGCAUCCUGCCUCCGGCACACCUGUAUUUGUCAGCCCCCCACCGUGCCUUCUGAUGGGGUCUUCAUUACUGUGACAACAGUGUCCCAUGCAUGCACAAAGGAUGGCCACUCUGGUGUGUGUCAGCAUCAAACUCAGAGGCUAUACAUGUUCAACUGUUGACAGGAAAGGUGACAGAAAAGGCAGAAGAAGCCAGUGACUGGCAAGCUCAAAGCAGCAUCUACCCCACAUACCUCCCGCACAAUCCAAUCUGACUUGAACUUCCCACCCUGCAAGAUGAUGCCCUAGAAUGAUUUCCUGGUACGUACAGUACCUGCAAUACCACCACAGCCCAUCCCUUCUGACCAGGGAAGCAAGACUCAUUCCAGCAUCCAGACUUGGCGACACAAGCACACUGUUUUUACACUUGGAGACACAACUGGGCCAAAAGCACUCUAGGGUGGAUUUCUCUCACAGCCACUCCCUGGAAUCACCAUCUUGGGGUCCAACAUAUAGAAUCUAGACCAAUGUAGCUGAUAUUUGUCAUCAGUUGUUAA